rnacentral:misc_RNA from 1 species
GAUGAAGAACGUAGUGAAAUGCGAUAAGUAAUGUGAAUUGCAGAAUUCAGUGAAUCAUCGAAUCUUUGAACGCACCUUGCGCUCCUUGGCAUUCCGAGGAGCAUGCCUGUUUGAGUGUCAUUAAAUUCUCAAGACCUGUCUGCUUUUUUGAUAGGUAUUGGAUUUUGGGGGUUGCAGGCUGUUUCAAAUAAAUAGCCUUGCUCUCCUUGAAUGUAUUAGUGGAGAAAAGCCAUUGAACUCCAUUGGUGUGAUAAAACCUAUCAAUGCCAGGAGCAAUAUCACUACUUCUCUCUGCUGUCUAACUGUGACUGUCUGUAUUAAUUAGUAUGGAUGGGGACAACUUGACCAACUUGACCUCAAAUCAGGUAGGACUACCCGCUGAACUUAAGCAUAUCAAUAAGCGGAGGA